UACAGAGGGUGCAAGCGUUGUUCGGAAUUAUUGGGCGUAAAGGGCGCGUAGGCGGUGCCACAAGUCACCUGUGAAAUCUCCGGGCUUAACUCGGAGCCUGCAGGCGAAACUGUGGUGCUGGAGUGUGGGAGAGGUGCGUGGAAUUCCCGGUGUAGCGGUGAAAUGCGUAGAUAUCGGAAGGAACACCAGUGGCGAAGGCGACUUCCUGGACCGUUACUGACACUGAGGCGCGAAAGCGUGGGGAGCGAACAGG
rnacentral:rRNA from 1 species